GAUAAUGAUCGAUUAUGCUCAAACCACGACUAUCCCAAAUGGAUAAAUAAAGCAUGGGAAGAGGCGAAUAAGGAAGCCGGUGUGGCUGACAACCGGACGAAGUUCUUAGCAAACGAUUUUCAAGAAAAAUCGAAAAAAAUUCUGACAACCGGACAAGCAAACAAGAACACAUGCAUCGUUUAUAAAUAAGGAUCAGCAUCGUUUGAAUCUAACACUCAUUCAUUGGUAAAAAUAUUUAAUAUCUAAUUUUUUUAACUUGUAUUUCAACUAAUUCAUUUUUUCAUGAUUCAAAAUUUGAAAUUAGGUCGUCAAUCGAUUUUCUUUUACAUAAUCGUUUCUGUCUACGUAUAAUCCUAUAAAUGAUACAUAUUUAAUGGUACAUAUUUAAAUUUUGUUAUUGAGAAUGUCAUAUAUACAUUUAAGUGUUUAUUAAAUACAUUUCUCUAACAAAUUGAAAAUCACUACCAAAACAUCAAAUCAAUAGUCAUUAUAAUAAUGGCUAACGAUCAAUUCCGAAAAAAGUUGACAAAUCCACUGUGUCGUCGUCGUAUUUAAAAUAAUCAUCAAGUG
rnacentral:lncRNA from 1 species